GCGGGUGUGGCGGAAUUGGCAGACGCGCUAGACUUAGGAUCUAGUGCCCUCGGCGUGGGGGUUCGAGUCCCUCCACCCGCA
rfam:Caloranaerobacter azorensis H53214 contig35, whole genome shotgun sequence.